AUUGAACGCUGGCGGCAUGCCUUACACAUGCAAGUCGAACGGUAUCAGGUCUUCGGAUGCUGACGAGUGGCGAACGGGUGAGUAAUACAUCGGAACGUGCCCGAUCGUGGGGGAUAACGGAGCGAAAGCUUUGCUAAUACCGCAUACGAUCUACGGAUGAAAGCGGGGGACCGCAAGGCCUUGCGCGGACGGAGCGGCCGAUGGCAGAUUAGGUAGUUGGUGGGAUAAAAGCUUACCAAGCCGACGAUCUGUAGCUGGUCUGAGAGGACGACCAGCCACACUGGGACGGAGACACGGCCCAGACUCCUACGGGAGGCAGCAGUGGGGAAUUUUGGACAAUGGGCGCAAGCCUGAUCCAGCCAUGCCGCGUGCAGGAUGAAGGCCUUCGGGUUGUAAACUGCUUUUGUACGGAACGAAAAGACUCUGGUUAAUACCUGGGGUCCAUGACGGUACCGUAAGAAUAAGCACCGGCUAACUACGUGCCAGCCGCCGCCGUAACAC
rnacentral:rRNA from 1 species